GUCUACGGCCAUGCCACCCUGAACAAGCCUGAUGUCUGAUCUCGGAAGCUAAGCAGGGUCAGGCCUGAUUAGUACUUGAAUGGGAGACCACCUAGGAAGACCAGGUGCUGUAGGCA
rnacentral:rRNA from 1 species